GCUCCGGUGGUGUAGUCCGGUCAAGCAUUGCGGCCUUUCGAGUCGCAGAUCCCGGGUUCAAAUCCCGGCCGGAGCA
rnacentral:tRNA from 5 species